AGUGAACGCUGGCGGUAGGCCUAACACAUGCAAGUCGAACGGCAGCACAGUAAGAGCUUGCUCUUACGGGUGGCGAGUGGCGGACGGGUGAGGAAUACAUCGGAAUCUACUUUUUCGUGGGGGAUAACGUAGGGAAACUUACGCUAAUACCGCAUACGACCUACGGGUGAAAGCAGGGGAUCUUCGGACCUUGCGCGAUUGACUGAGCCGAUGUCGGAUUAGCUAGUUGGCGGGGUAAAGGCCCACCAAGGCGACGAUCCGUAGCUGGUCUGAGAGGAUGAUCAGCCACACUGGAACUGAGACACGGUCCAGACUCCUACGGGAGGCAGCAGUGGGGAAUAUUGGACAAUGGGCGCAGGCCUGAUCCAGCAAUACCGCGUGGGUGAAGAAGGCCUUCGGGUUGUAAAGCCCUUUUGUUGGGAAAGAAAAGCAGCGGGUUAAUACCCCGCUGUUCUGACGGUACCCAAAGAAUAAGCACCGGCUAACUUCGUG
rnacentral:rRNA from 1 species